CAGCAGCAGCCGCGGUAAUACGUAGGGCGCAAGCGUUGUCCGGAAUUAUUGGGCGUAAAGAGCUCGUAGGCGGUCUGUCGCGUCUGGUGUGAAAUCCCGAGGCUCAACCUCGGGCUUGCAUCGGGUACGGGCAGACUAGAGUGCGGUAGGGGAGACUGGAAUUCCUGGUGUAGCGGUGGAAUGCGCAGAUAUCAGGAGGAACACCGAUGGCGAAGGCAGGUCUCUGGGCCGCAACUGACGCUGAGGAGCGAAAGCAUGGGGAGCGAACAGGAUUAGAUACCCCAGUAGUCCCUGUCUCUUAUAA
rnacentral:rRNA from 1 species